rnacentral:rRNA from 1 species
UACGUAGGGCGCAAGCGUUGUCCGGAAUUAUUGGGCGUAAAGAGCUCGUAGGCGGUUUGUCGCGUCUGGUGUGAAAACUCAAGGCUCAACCUUGAGCUUGCAUCGGGUACGGGCAGACUAGAGUGUGGUAGGGGUGACUGGAAUUCCUGGUGUAGCGGUGGAAUGCGCAGAUAUCAGGAGGAACACCGAUGGCGAAGGCAGGUCACUGGGCCACUACUGACGCUGAGGAGCGAAAGCAUGGGGGAGCGAACAGG